UUCACAUCCAGUUUUGCUUAAAAUUUAGGGUUUUUGGGCCCUAAGCAACGUUUGGAGAAUUUAUCGCUUCGUCGCCUUGCCUCGCCGGCCACCGGUGCCAGAAGCCACUGGUAGAGCUCUUAGCCACCACUGCCCAACAGGCCCCUGUUUUAUGCCAUUGAAGACCAAAUAUUCGUUGCCCAAAUCGGCUCUUGAUUUUUUUCGUGGCAGAUUGAGGGGUGUGUUUGGGUUCAGUUGAUUUGGAAGGAUGGGGAUGAAGCUAUUUGAUGGCAGUGACGGUUCGGACGGAGAAGACGCACCAAAGAUCGAAAUCAACAAAGAGUUCGCUCGGCGUUACGAGCACAACAAAAAGCGAGAGGAUCUGCAGAGGCUCGAAGAGCUGAAGAAGAAAGGCGUCGUCGAAGAUUCGUCCGGUAGCGACUCCAACGGGUCCGACGACGACGAGUCGGCCGGAGACCAGCUCGUUAGUUCGACGAAAGAUUUGGAGUUCUUUAGAGCGUUGAUUAAGGUCAAGAACCAAGACCCCGAACUCAAAAACAAGGAGGCCAAGCUAUUUGAGUCGGAGGAUGAGGAAGAGGAAGGAAACGAAAAUGUGGUAGAGGAAAGAAAAAGGGAUAACACAAAGAAGCCAAAGUAUUUGAAGGAUGUGGCCUCGAGGCACUUGAUUGAGGAGGGGCCGGAAUUUGAAGAUGAGGAAGAGGGUUUGGAGUUUGAAGAUGAGGAUGAUGAGGGAAAGAAAGUAAAGAGCUAUUCGGAGGAGCAGGAGGAGAUGAGGAGGGAGUUCUUCGAUGCGGUGGAGGAGUUACAGGCUGAUGAUGGGGGGGAAUUGAUUAAGGUGAAGGAGAGGAGUAUUGGAGAUGAGAUGGAGGACGGUACUGGAGAGGUUGAUAAGAAGUUGGAUGAGUAUUUUGGCCAAGAUGAUAAUUUGGAUGAGAAUGAAUUGUUUUUGAAGGAUUAUUUCAGGAACAGGAUGUGGCUUGACAAUGAUAAGGGAGACAAGGGAUUGGAUGACGUGGUUUCGGGGUUUUUGGAAGAUGAGGAGGAGAUUGAGAAGCAAGAGGAUUAUGAGAGAGAGUUUAACUUUAGGUUUGAGGAGAAUGCAGGGGAUAGGGUGUUGGGCCAUUCACGGUUUGUAGAGGGAUCAGUGAGAAAGAAGACAAAUGCACGGAAGGUGCAGAGGAAGAGCAAGGAGGAGAGGAUGGCACAGGCGGAGUUUGAGAGAAAGGAGGAGCUGAAGCAUUUGAAGAAUUUGAAGAAGAAAGAGAUGAAAGAGAAGCUUAAAAAGAUUCGAGAGACUGCAGGUAUUGGUGAAGACAGGGCUUGUUUGUUAAAUGUGGAUGAUCUAGAGGAGGAUUUUGAUCCAGAUGAGUAUGAUAGAAAGAUGAAAGCAGCAUUUAAUGACGAUUACUAUGAUGCGGAUGAUGCUGACCCCCACUUCCAGAGUGAUAGCGAUGAAUAUGAUGGAAAUUUAGAAAAACCAGAUUUUGAUAAAGAAGAUGAGUUGCUUGGUCUUCCGAAAGGGUGGGAUGAUGUGCCUAACACUGCAGAUGGGUUCUUGGCUGUUAGGGAGAAAAAUUUGAAACGCAGGGCAGAAAAUAAAGAUAUGCAUGAACAGGUAGAAGAAGACAAAGAAGUGCCUGAAGAGGGUAAACGAAAGAAAAAUAGGAAAAUGUCUAAUCUGGAGAAGGACGUUCUUGAUAAGGAGUUGGAGGAAUACUAUAAAUUGGACUACGAGGACACAAUAGGAGACUUAAAGACAAGAUUUAAGUACAAGGAAGUUGGGACUAAAAGAUAUGGGCUCACUGCUGAGGAGAUUUUAAUGAUGGAUGAUAAGGAGUUAAAUCAGUAUGUUUCCCUGAAGAAGCUUGCUCCUUACAGGGAACAGGAAUGGAAGGUGCCCAGGCAUAAGAGAUACGAACAAAAACAGAGGAAUAAGUUGCUUCUUCAGGGAGAAGCAUUGACUGACCAGAAAACUGGUAAGAAGAAUGAGAAAGUUGAUGAUAAGAAAUCAAUUAGAAAGGCAAAGGAAAAUGAAAAAAUGCAAGCAGAGGAAUCAAAUGGUGGUGAGAGCAAUCUAUCCAGGCAUAGCAGGAGAAGACAUCGUCAAGCUGAACUUAAACUAACACAAUCAAGGCUUAUGGCAUACGGGAAAAUUCCUUCCAAAUCUAAAAAGAAGAAGAAGCACUGAAAUUUGCCCCUGGUUUUGGCAGACCUCCUAUGCAAGGAAUUUUGAUUAGAGGACUGCUAGUUGCAGCUGGCUGUGGGUGUUGGAACCCAUCAGGCUGCAGACCUUCUGUGUCAGCACAUGUAGGGACCUUCCACAGUUGCCAGUAUCCUACACUGGCCUUGGAAAGCCAAAAUUACGUCGUCAGGGGAAUUGAAUCUUGGAUGUUGCUCAAAAUUCUGUUUCCACAGAUGAUGUCUAAUCCGAAGUUGGUGAGAGUGGCUUCAGAAAGCACAAAAAUCAUGAGAACUGAAGACCUGAGGAAUGCUGCUGAACAGUUUAAAUACACAUGCCCAGAAGAGAUAGCUAAGAUUGCCUAGGAAAUGACUAAUGCAAGUCUUGAUGCACAAGUGAAUUGGGAAUUAAAUGCUGCUGAGCUGCUAAAGAAACAGGUGCCAUUACGUUAUAACUAAUGACUUCAAAUCCAUAUUGUUUCUCUCUCAAAUACUCUUUUAAUGUUCCUUCAAUGUGAUAAAAAAAAUUAUAGCCAGAACAGCCCCCUUAGAGUAAUGGAUUUUGUCAUGUCUUGGUGAUGUUGUUCCAACGUAGUUUUGUUACUUUUGUACUGUCCUUAAGGAGGACUCUGAUUAUUCUUGAUUCAAGUGAAUUUCUCAAA